rnacentral:rRNA from 1 species
AACGAACGCUGGCGGCAGGCUUAACACAUGCAAGUCGAACGCAUCCUUCGGGGUGAGUGGCAGACGGGUGAGUAACGCGUGGGAACGUGCCCUUCAGUUCGGGAUAAUCCAGGGAAACUUGGGCUAAUACCGGAUACGUGCGAGAGCAGAAAGAUUUAUCGCUGAAGGAUCGGCCCGCGUCUGAUAAGCUAGUUGGGGGGGUAAUGGCCCACCAAGGCGACGAUCAGUAGCUGGUCGGAGAGGAUGAGCAGCGACAUGGGGACGGAGGCACGGGCCAAACUCCAAGGGGAGGGAGCAGUGGGGAAUAUUGGACAAUGGGCGCAAGCCGGAUCCAGCCAUGCGGCGGGAGUGAUGAGGGCCUUAGGGUUGUAAAGCUCUUUCGUCCGGGACGAUAAUGACGGUACCGGAAGAAGAAGCCCCGGCUAACUUCGUGCCGGCCGCCGCCGCCG